rnacentral:rRNA from 1 species
AUUGAACGCUGGCGGCAUGCUUUACACAUGCAAGUCGAACGGCAGCACGGGCUUCGGCCUGGUGGCGAGUGGCGAACGGGUGAGUAAUAUAUCGGAACGUACCCAGAAGUGGGGGAUAACGUAGCGAAAGUUACGCUAAUACCGCAUACGAUCUAUGGAUGAAAGCAGGGGACCGCAAGGCCUUGUGCUCCUGGAGCGGCCGAUAUCUGAUUAGCUAGUUGGUGAGGUAAAGGCUCACCAAGGCGACGAUCAGUAGCUGGUCUGAGAGGACGACCAGCCACACUGGAACUGAGACACGGCCCAGACUCCUACGGGAGGCAGCAGGGGGGAAUUUUGGACAAGGGGGGCAAGCCUGAUCCAGCAAUGCCGGGUGAGUGAAGAAGGCCUGCGGGUUGUAAAGCUUUUUUGGAAGGAAAGAAACGGGAGAGGCAAAUAUCCUUUGCUAAUGACGGUACCGGAAGAAGAAGCACCGGCUAACUACGUG